GACGAACGCUGGCGGCGCGCCUAACACAUGCAAGUCGAACGAGCGAGAGAGAGCUUGCUUUCUCAAGCGAGUGGCGAACGGGUGAGUAACGCGUGAGGAACCUGCCUCAAAGAGGGGGACAACAGUUGGAAACGACUGCUAAUACCGCAUAAGCCCACGACCCGGCAUCGGGUAGAGGGAAAAGGAGCAAUCCGCUUUGAGAUGGCCUCGCGUCCGAUUAGCUAGUUGGUGAGGUAAUGGCCCACCAAGGCGACGAUCGGUAGCCGGACUGAGAGGUUGAACGGCCACAUUGGGACUGAGAGACGGUCCAGACUCCUACGGGAGGCAGCAGUGGGGAAUAUUGGGCAAUGGGCGAAAGCCUGACCCAGCAACGCCGCGUGAGGGAAGAAGGGGUUUCGGCUCGUAAACCUCUGUCCUAUGGGACGAAGGAAGUGAGGUACCAUAGGAGGAAGCCCGGCUAACUACGUGCCAGCAGCCGCGGU
rnacentral:rRNA from 1 species